UCCUGUUUCCUCGUGAGGAGUACAGUGUGUUCAUGUGAACAGGGUGACAUGACAUCCAACAGCAGCAUGGCAUGGGGCCUCGUGCUAUUGUUUAAUGAAAAAGGAACAGUGGCGUUUCCCACACUGGCUCAUUGUUGCUCUCAGCUGAUCUGUCUCAACGGGCUGAGGCCUGUCAAACGCUGCAUUUAGGUCCAGGCAGCUCUGAUCAACUCAGAACAAAGUGGAACAAACAGACACCCUCCUGCUGGAGCUUACAGGUUCUCUACGUGGCCGCACACGCACAACGCAGCAUGCGUGGGUGAACUUACGCAGUCUCCAUGACUCACUCUGACACCAAACCUCACUUACAGCAUCAUUAAUGUCCUUCUGCAUCUGUGGCAGGUGAGCAAAUCACAGAGCUGCACAGAUCAGACCCGCUUACAGCCGCUCCACUGCAGGAUUCUUUAAACAGCAAUGAAGAGCUUGAGAAAUCAACUGAUCUUAGCUUUUUUCCCUUAACUUUUUAUUU